GUACACCUAGGCUAUAUGGAAUAGCCUAUUGCUCCUAGGCUUCAAACCCGUACAGCAUGGCACUAUAUGGAAUACUGUAGGCAAUUUUAUCACAAUGCUGGAAUGUCUUCAGAAGCGAUAACACACAAAGAGCUGUCAUCUCCUAGGAUAACAAUGCCUUCUUCUAGAGUACCUCCUGAAGAACCUGCUUGAGGCCAUGUUACAGUUCACUUUUUUUAUUAGUAGGAGUACAUGCUAAAAUAAUGAUAAAUAGUAUAGUAUAGUAAAUACAUACACCAUACUGUAAGUACAUAAUAUUAGGUGCUAGAUUUUUAUAUCACUGGUGGCACAGUAGGUUUGUUUACACCAGCAUCACCACAGACACUUAAGUAACGCAUUACACUAAGACGUCACAAUGACUACCACAUCACGAGGUGACGGGAAUUUUUCAGGUCCGUUAUAAUCUUAUAGGACCAUCAUUGUAUAUGCGAUCCAUUAUUGACUGAGACGUCUUUAUAUGGCUCAUAACUGUAUGAUACUUAAAGAUACAUAUGAGAACUUUCUUGCUGAUACCGUUUGGAUUUCUUCUGAUGUAUUCCAUUUUGAGAGCUGAUGAAGCAGCAAAUAGAAGCCUAAUUACAUUUCUGUUCUCCUCCCAUUCCCCCAGAAUCCUGACCCUUGGGAAUGGGAUCUGGAGCCAGUGGGAAGCAUUCUCCGAAUAUGAUAAUGUGGUUAUCUUCUGACAAGUGCUGGCAUUAUCACUUGUUGCUAGUGAGCAUUUUUUAAUAAAUAAUUUUUGCUCUUGAA